rnacentral:rRNA from 1 species
ACGGCGAGGCUAAAUAUUCUACGGGGGGGCAGCAGUGGGGAAUAUUGCACAAUGGGCGCAAGCCUGAUGCAGCCAUGCCGCGUGUAUGAAGAAGGCCUUCGGGUUGUAAAGUACUUUCAGCGGGGAGGAAGGGAGUAAAGUUAAUACCUUUGCUCAUUGACGUUACCCGCAGAAGAAGCACCGGCUAACUCCGUGCCAGCAGCCGCGGUAAUACGGAGGGUGCAAGCGUUAAUCGGAAUUACUGGGCGUAAAGCGCACGCAGGCGGUUUGUUAAGUCAGAUGUGAAAUCCCCGGGCUCAACCUGGGAACUGCAUCUGAUACUGGCAAGCUUGAGUCUCGUAGAGGGGGGUAGAAUUCCAGGUGUAGCGGUGAAAUGCGUAGAGAUCUGGAGGAAUACCGGUGGCGAAGGCGGCCCCCUGGACGAAGACUGACGCUCAGGUGCGAAAGCGUGGGGAGCAAAACAGGAUUAGAUACCUUUGGGUAGUCCCAACCGCCGUAUGGG